GUCGGGUGCCCCGCUUGGUGUGGAAAUGUUGAGAGCGCUGAUCUGGAAGGAGGGGGAAACCGAGUCCCACCGCGUCGAUAACCAGCCCGGGAGAAGGGCCUCGUGUUCACACCUGGGACUUCGGAAUGGAGGCUCCUGACCCGGGGCCAAACUUCCUUCCCAGCAGCGGGGACCCAUGCAGACCGCGGAGGAACCGGGGCUCGGCCUGCAUGGCACCAGGGGCGGCGGUGACUUCGUGAACGCGGCCCUGCGGGGGACUGGCCGAUUUGGCAGGCAACCCGCCAAGGACAAGAACGUGAAAUGGACGUCUCAUUGAACAAUUUCAGGCCGUAUCUAACCCUCCCUGGAUCUGCUUACGCCUCCCAGAGGAAGACGAGCGAGUCUCAGGCUCUCCCACCAGAAAACCGUUUCCACCGGUCAGAAGAGCCAAAGGGUAGUACUGAGGUUCUAUUUACACCCUCACGAAGACACAUUCAUUCCCAAGGUCGGCACCCAUUCCCUUUCACCGACCCUGAUGGCAUGUCCAUUCACUGCCUUUCGAUCUGGCUGGGUGACCCCGGGAGUUGCCACUGAUGC